rnacentral:rRNA from 1 species
UACGAAGGGUGCAAGCGUUACUCGGAAUUACUGGGCGUAAAGCGUGCGUAGGUGGUGAGUUAAGUCUGUCGUGAAAGCCCCGGGCUCAACCUGGGAAUGGCGAUGGAUACUGGCUCGCUAGAGUGCGGUAGAGGAGAGUGGAAUUCCCGGUGUGGCAGUGAAAUGCGUAGAGAUCGGGAGGAACAUCAGUUGCGAAGGCGGCUCUCUGGACCAGCACUGACACUGAGGCACGAAAGCGUGGGGAGCAAACAGG